AUGUCCCAAUUUCCCCCCAAAUUCCCCAAUUUCCCCCCAAAUUCCCCAAUUUCCCCCCCAAACAUUCCCAAAUUUUCCCUCCCAAAUUCCCAAUUUUCCCCCCAAAAUCCCCAAUUUUUUUCACCCCAAACUUCAGAUUUUUUUCCCCUAAAAUGUCCUAAUUCCCCCCCAAAUUCCCCAAUUUCCCCCCCAAACAUUCCCAAAUUUUCCCUCCCAAAUUCCCAAUUUUCCCCCCAAAAUCCCCAAUUUUUUUCCCCAAAAAAUUCUGGGUUUUUUUCCCCCAAAAUGUCCCAAUUUCCCCCCAAAUUCCCCAAUUCUCCCCCAAAUUCCCAAUUUCACCCCCAAACAUUCCCAAAUUUUCCCUCCCAAAUUCCCAAUUUUCCCCCCAAAAUCCCCAAUUUUUUUCACCCCAAAAUUCUGAAUUUUUUUUCCCCCAAAUUGUCCCAAUUCCCCCCCAAAUUCCCCAAUUUCACCCCCAAACUUUCCCAAAUUUUCCCUCUCAAAAUCCCCAAUUUUUUUCCCCCAAAAAUUCUGGGGUUUUUUCCCCCAAAAUGUCCCAAAUCCCCCCCAAAUUCCCCAAUUUUCCCCCAAAAUUCCCCAAUUUCCCCCCAAAUUCCCCAAUUUCACCCCCAAACAUUCCCAAAUUUUCCCUCCCAAAUUCCCAAUUUUUUCCCCCAAACCUUCCCAUUUUUCCCCCCAAAAUUCCCAUUUUUUUUCCCCCAAAAUUUCUCAAUUCCCCCCAAAUUCCCCAUUUUCCCCCCAAAUUCCCCAAUUCCCCCCAAAUCCCCCAAUUUCACCCCCAAACAUUCCCAAAUUUUCCCUCCCAAAUUCCCAAUUUUUUCCCCCAAAUUUUCCCAUUUAUCCCCCCAAAAUUCCCAUUUUUUUUCCCCCCAAAAAAUUCCCAAUUUCCCCCCUCAAAAUUCCCAAAUUCCCCCCCAAAAUCACCAAAUUUCCCCCCCCCAAAUUUUCCCCCCACGAAUCGCUCAUCAAAGGCUCAUUGAUCACUAUUAA
rnacentral:lncRNA from 1 species